ACUACCACAAUCGUGUCAUCAUUAGCGAAAAAAUCAGUAAUGCUACAUAUACGGGAUUUUUUACAGGAGAUUACAUGGGAGGUGAUUUGGAGGCAUACUAUUAGUUGGGGGAUGGCCCCCCACUAGAAAUUCAGGAGGGUGGAGAGAUUAUUGAUGAAUCACAACCUGCCUCGCCCGUAACAACCCUGUAAACCUCUGUAUGUCUAGGAUUAUUGGCGAAAAACCACCUACUUACAAAACAUGGCAAAAAUCACCGCACCGAGAAAUUGACAGUCGUAGAAAACACUAACACGGUGUUCGGAUGUCUGAAUUAGACCCUUCAAAUUGGAUAUGGUAUUGACUACCUGCCAAUUCAGAUGUACCGAAUCGAGCAAACAAAAACGGGCCAGAUACAGAGACGAAUUAGCCUCCACGCGCGCAGCCCUCCCGCGAUACGGAGUCCGAGCCUCCGAUUUGGGUUGAAUUGGCCAAGUCCUGCAAAACAUAACAUUUCGAGACAAGUCUCGCUCGCGACUUGCCUUUCCUCCGCGCGAGACGCAAGCCCCAGCCGGCGGCGACGCAGGUGUUGCUGAUAAGGGGAAGAACAUGGUUAUGUGACUAUUGUAGAUUGUGUGCUAGUCGUAUAGAUUGAAUAUAAUGCAUGGUUAUGUGAGUGUA